rnacentral:rRNA from 1 species
GACGAACGCUGGCGGCGUGCCUAAUACAUGCAAGUUGAGCGAUGAAGAUUGGUGCUUGCACCCAUUUGAAGAGCAGCGAACGGGUGAGUAACGCGUGGGGAAUCUGCCUUUGAGCGGGGGACAACAUUUGGAAACGAAUGCUAAUACCGCAUAACAACUUUAAACAUAAGUUUUAAGUUUGAAAGAUGCAAUUGCAUCACUCAAAGAUGAUCCCGCGUUGUAUUAGCUAGUUGGUGAGGUAAAGGCUCACCAAGGCGAUGAUACAUAGCCGACCUGAGAGGGUGCUCGGCCACAUUGGGACUGGGACACGGCCCAAACUCCUACGGGAGGCAGCAGUAGGGAAUCUUCGGCAAUGGACGAAAGUCUGACCGAGCAACGCCGCGUGAGUGAAGAAGGUUUUCGGAUCGUAAAACUCUGUUGGUAGAGAAGAACGUUGGUGAGAGUGGAAAGCUCAUCAAGUGACGGUAACUACCCAGAAAGGGACGGCUAACUACGUG